AAAAAGAUAAGCUAAUUAAGCUACCGGGUUCAUACCCCGUCUAUAAAGGUUACAGUCCUUUUCUUUUUA
rnacentral:tRNA from 1 species